ACAGGGCUGCAGGUGACAGAAAGCCGUGGCUUCCACUGAUUUUUCUCUGCUACUCAUGGUAGUGGUGGAAAUGGGGAUUUAGAUCAGGACAUGCUACAGUCCCCAUCCAACACGGUCUAGUCCCCCUUCCAAGCCCACCAACAUCACAGUUAUCUUUGUGGCUGCAAAGUGCAGAUGGCUGGAAACACAUGCAUUGCAGAUCCAGCUGAAUGGACUUUCUAGUCCAUCUUCCACUCCAUGGAGAAAGACAGCGCCAACAAUGCACAUGCGCUCACACAGAAGACAACCAUGUCGGAUUCAUUUCCACCUCUCAGCAAAGGUUGAAACCUGGAACACCCGCACACAAGACCCAGGCUAUCUUCCUGUGCUGCACAGCAAACACCCCAGUGUGCUCUCUCGGAACUUGGCAAGCAUCUGGACGGGACAGCUUUCCUAUACACUGGGAAAUCAAAAUAGAAAGCACCAGCUUUUUGCCAAUUCUGCAACCUGAGGACAAAUUUCAGGGAAAAGCUUUUCCACAUCAUAGAAGAGGAUGUGAGAAUAUCGUAAGGCCCAUGUAGGAGAUGCCUCAGUGAUGUCCUAUUGGCUGGACGGGAAUGAUGCAUACAUGCAUGAAGAGGAGAAGUGACUGUGUGCGAAGGAAAUACACAAAAUCAAGUCAGCCAAAAUCCUAAUGUGGAUGGGUGAAGGGCUCAGGAAGGCUAACCCCCACUCAAGACAUUAUUGGAUGGACCUCCAGUGGAUGGAGGAGGACAUCAACCAACCCACAAAACCUUCAAGCCAAAAUUUGUCCUGUCUACAAGAUGAGCAGAGAUAAAGAUGGAGCAGAGAUUGAGGAAACAGCCAACCAAUGAUUGCCCCAGUUGAGACCCAUCCCAUGUGAGAGAGCCAACCCCUGAUACUAUUAAUGAUUCUCUGCUAUUCUUGCAGAUAGGAGCCUAGCAUAACUGUCUCCUGAGAGGCUCCAUCCAACAAAGGAUGGAAACAGAUCCAGAGACACAUAGCCAAACA
rnacentral:lncRNA from 1 species